GACGAACGCUGGCGGCGUGCUUAACACAUGCAAGUCGAACGGAAAGGCCCUGCUUUUGUGGGGUGCUCGAGUGGCGAACGGGUGAGUAACACGUGAGUAACCUGCCCUUGACUUUGGGAUAACUUCAGGAAACUGGGGCUAAUACCGGAUAGGAGCUCCUGCUGCAUGGUGGGGGUUGGAAAGUUUCGGCGGUUGUGGAUGGACUCGCGGCUUAUCAGCUUGUUGGUGGGGUAGUGGCUUACCAAGGCUUUGACGGGUAGCCGGCCUGAGAGGGUGACCGGCCACAUUGGGACUGAGAGACGGCCCAGACUCCUACGGGAGGCAGCAGUGGGGAAUAUGGCACAAUGGGCGGAAGCCUGAUGCAGAAACGCCGCGUGCGGGAUAACGGCCUUCGGGUUGUAAACCGCUUUGGCAUGUGACGAAGCGUGAGUGACGGUAAUGGGUAAAGAAGCACCGGCUAACUACGUG
rnacentral:rRNA from 1 species